GAAAUGCGAUAAGUAAUGUGAAUUGCAGAAUUCAGUGAAUCAUCGAAUCUUUGAACGCACAUUGCGCCCGCCAGUAUUCUGGCGGGCAUGCCUGUCCGAGCGUCAUUUCAACCAUCAAGCCCCCGGGCUUGUGUUGGGGACCUGCGGCUGCCCGCAGGCCCUGAAAACCAGUGGCGGGCUCGCUGUCACACCGAGCGUAGUAGCAAUCACCUCGCUCAGCGCGUGCUGCGGGUUCCGGCCGUUAAACAGCCUUACAAAACCCAAGGUUGACCUCGGAUCAGGUAGGAAGACCCGCUGAACUUAAGC
rnacentral:misc_RNA from 1 species